GCACCUUGCUACUUGGAUAACCGUGGUAAUUCUAGAGCUAAUACAUGCCGAAAAUCCCGACUUCGGAAGGGAUGUAUUUAUUAGAUUUAAAAACCAAUGGCCCCCCUCAUUGGGGGCUUCUCUGGUGAUUCAUGAUAACUUCGCGAAUCGCACGGCCUUGCGCCGGCGAUGGUUCAUUCAAAUUUCUUCCCUAUCAACUUUCGAUGUUUGGGUAGUGGCCAAACAUGGUUGCAACGGGUAACGGAGGGUUAGGGCUCGGCCCCGGAGAAGGAGCCUGAGAAACGGCUACUACAUCCAAGGAAGGCAGCAGGCGCGCAAAUUACCCAAUCCCGACACGGGGAGGUAGUGACAAUAAAUACUGAUACAGGGCUCUUUUGGGUCUUGCAAUUGGAAUGAGUACAAUUUAAAUCCCUCGACGAGGAACAAUUGGAGGGCAAGUCUGGUGAGCGUUUGUUGCUGGUGCCAGAGAGAGCCGCCCCUCCGUGUUAAACUUAUGCGGCUAGUCGAGUGCUCGCGUCAGUGGCGGGUGAGCACCGGCGAGACAACCUGGGUCGGGGAAGGCUAAAGGCGGCCCCCCUCCCCCCCUCAAACCUACCCAUCCCCGGCGGGCGCCGGGGGAGAGAGGGGGGGUGAGGAACCUACGCUGAUCCCGAGCAGAGCCGUGCGAGACGACGGGGACGGCCUGUGUAGAGCGCGCCAAGGUGUCGGUCCCAGGGGGGGGGCGCUUACCCCCCCCGGGGCUUAAGGUACGUGCCAAUCCCUUGCGAAAGCAGGGCCUUGCGGACGGAGCACCCGUCGUGCGAAGCUGCAGGGGGGGAGGGCUUAACCCCUUAACAUAACGCCCAGCCCCCCCCAAUGGGGGUGGGGGUUCCCUCCCGUGAAGGACAGACAGAGACGGAGGUGGCCAGCAGCCGCGGUAAUUCCAGCUCCAACAGCGUAUAUUAAGGUUGUUGUGGUUAAAAAGCUCGUAGUUGGACCUUGGGCCUGGUCGGCCGGUCCGCCUCACCGCGUGCACUGGUCCCGGCCGGGCCUUUCCCCCUGCGGAACCCCAUGCCCUUCGCUGGGCGUGGCGGGGAAACAGGACUUUUACUUUGAAAAAAUUAGAGUGCUCCAGGCAGGCCUAUGCUCGAAUACAUUAGCACGGAAUAAUGAAAUAGGACGUGCGGUUCUAUUUUGUUGGUUUCUAGGACCGCCGUAAUGAUUAAUAGGGACAGCCGGGGGCAUCAGUAUUCAGUUGUCAGAGGUGAAAUUCUUGGAUUUAUUGAGGACUAGCUACUGCGAAAGCAUUUGCCAAGGAUGUUUUCAUUAAUCAGGAACGAAAGUUGGGGGAUCGAAGACGAUCAGAUACCGUCGUAGUCUCAACCCUAAACUAUGCCGACUAGGG
rnacentral:rRNA from 1 species